UACGUAGGGGGCAAGCGUUGUCCGGAUUUAUUGGGCGUAAGGAGCGUGUAGGCGGCCAGGUAGGUCUGCUGUGAAAACUCGAGGCUUAACCUCGAGAUGUCGGCGGAAACCAUCUGGCUAGAGUCCGGAAGAGGAGAAUGGAAUUCCCGGUGUAGCGGUGAAAUGCGCAGAUAUCGGGAAGAACACCCGUGGCGAAGGCGGAUCUCUGGGCCGAUACUGACGCUGAGGAGCGAAAGCGUGGGGAGUGAACAGG
rnacentral:rRNA from 1 species